rnacentral:rRNA from 1 species
GAUGAACGCUGGCGGCAGGCUUAACACAUGCAAGUCGAACGAGAUCUUCGGAUCUAGUGGCAGACGGGUGAGGAACACGUGGGAACAUCCCUUUCAGUUCGGAAUAACGUUGGGAAACUAACGCUAAUACCGGAUACGUCCUUCGGGAGAAAGAUUUAUCGCUGAAAGAUUGGCCCGCGUCUGAUUAGCUAGUUGGUGAGGUAACGGCUCACCAAGGCUACGAUCAGUAGCUGAUCUGAGAGGAUGAUCAGCCACAUUGGGACUGAGACGCGGCCCAAACUCCUACGGGAGGCAGCAGUGGGGAAUAUUGGACAAUGGGCGCAAGCCUGAUCCAGCCAUGCCGCGUGAGUGAUGACAGCCUUCGGGUUGUAAAGCUCUUUUGUCCGGGAAGAUAAUGACUGUACCGGAAGAAUAAGCCCCGGCAAACUUCGUGCCAGCCGCCGCGGUAA